rnacentral:snRNA from 1 species
UUCUGAGAAGGGUUCGAGUG